rnacentral:rRNA from 1 species
CCUACGGGAGGCAGCAGUGGGGAAUAUUGGGCAAUGGGCGCAAGCCUGACCCAGCAACGCCGCGUGAAUGAAGAAGGCUUUCGGGUUGUAAACUUCUUUUGUCAGUGACGAAGGAAGUGACGGUACCUUACGAUUAAGCCACGGCUAAUUACGUGCCAGCAGCCGCUGUAAUACGUAGGUGGCAAGCGUUAUCCGGAUUUACUGGGUGUAAAGUGCGUGUAGGCGGGGAAUCAAGUCAGAUGUGAAAGCCACGGGCUCAACCUGUGAACUGCAUUUGAAACUGUUGUUCUUGAGUGCUGGAGAGGAGAUCGGAAUUCCGUGUGUAGCGGUGGAAUGCGUAGAUAUACGGAGGAACACCAGUGGCGAAGGCGGAUUGAUGGACAGCAACUGACGCUGAGGCGCGAAAGCGUGGGGAGCAAACAGGAUUAGAUACCCGAGUAGUC